AAAAACUAGAAUACAGCUGAUAAAACAAGUUUACUGGAGAAAAUCCACUUCCAAGUUGGAAAACUUCAUUUCCUUGCAGUCACAGGGUUAAGGUCUCCAGCUUCUUGCCAGCUGGGGCUGGGAGCCACCUUCAGCUUCUGGAGGCUGCCAGUACUUCUGAGAAGCCACCAGCAAUUCCUGCCAACGGCCACUUAUACUUCAUCAAGCCAAUAAGGAGAACCUCUGUGACAAGCCAGCCUGCAAAACAGGGUAAUAUACUGUAACUAUCAUGUGAGUGACAUCCCAUCACAUUCACCAAAUUCUACUGAUUAGAAGCAAGUCAAGGUCCCAUUGACAUUCCAGGGGAUGGAAUGAGGCACAAGGCAUUCAGCACCAAGAGGUGGAGAUCAUGGGGGCAUCUUAGAGUCUGCCUGCUACAGAUAAAUUCAGAGUUAGGCCUGAAAAGAUCCAGAAGACACAAGUAAGUUGUAGCCAUGAGUAGCCCAGGUGCAAUAUCAUAUACCUCUGUAGCACCAGUGUCUUCUCCUCAGCUAAGGAAGGUGUCAAGAGAGACAUCUUAUGGUCAACCUAUGGAGGAAGAAAAAAUUUGCGGUAUUUUGCAUGUCGGCUCAGGGCAAAGAGUGCAUUUUAGAAUAAAGGAGGUGUGGCAACGUGUGUGCAUGGCCGUCUGAUGCACAGGGCUAAGAAGCAACUGCUAGAAAGGUCAAAUAGCUGUAAUAGGUUCAGCUCAUGUGGAACUUGGGACACUGCUCUGUAUGUUCGAGACUCUCUCCUCCAGAAAACAGAAUAUUUACUGAGCCAGCAGUCAAUACAUGGUGCUGAGACUGACAUGUCUAGGAAACACAGGUCUCAGGACCACAGGGUGAGUUGCCCCCUCACCAUCACACAUGAGUAUCCACUUGAAGAAUCACUGUGUUUUCCAGUCUCACAACAUUAGGCUCUCCUGGAUUAGGGAUAAUGGUUCCCAAGAAGGAACUGCUACUAUAGGGAAUAUAGAAAGAAUUCCACAUAAUGUAAAGUUACUUCAAGUUAGAACUGCUGUCUGAUUACUUUGGGUUUCUCAUACUAACGUACUCAGAGGCAAAGAAAGAAGAUACUUAGGUAAGGAGGUAAUUAGUCCAGGUUAUUAUGAGAGACAGUGACAAAUGCAGAAUCCAAAAGACUAAUAUGGCCAUCUCCUGUUACUUAUCUGUUCAGUAAGAACAAUGAACGGGCACUUAUAGCAGUCAUGGUCCAGUAAGAGGAAGAAAGUAUGGGUUCGACUCUUUAGGGGUGAUGGUUUGAGUCAACGCAACAGACCAGCAACCCAGACCAAACAAAGAAAUCUGUCAUUCUUCCUGUGAGUGACACCGGAACUGCUCUCGUUAACCUUACACUGUUCGUCUCUGACUUCCUGUUCCAGACUUUUCUGUUGGCACAUUGAGAGUAAUGUCAUGGUGAGCUGCUGUGCGAUCAAGAAUGUGCUACCUGGAGGUUUGGGAAGUUAAACCUUUAGAGAAAUCUUUUUACCAAAGGAACUUGGGAGAAAAUGGAUACACAUUUUCCUAUAACUUCUCCAGAAAGUCUUGAGACAUAGUCCAUAGACUUCCAUAGGAGAUCAACGAAAUGAAGAAACCAGUUGUCAAUAGUUGUGGCUAACUUAAAAAUGUAUCUUUAUAUGCAGCCUCCCUUCUCCCCUGUUUUGUUCCCCUGCUUCCUGGAUUCCACUCCUCGAUAAAAUACUUGCCCUUAAGCCUUUGCCUUAGCUCUGGUGUCUGAGGAAUUAGAGCUAAGAUAAUGCUCAUUAUGAGAAUGUCAACACCCACGCCAAGUCUACUAAUUCCAGAUGAUCUAAAAUUUUAAGACACUUAGGGAUCCAGUUCACUGGCGGAUUCUACUCAAAGGUAUAGAGAAAGGCCUUUGUUCAAGCUGCACAUCACAUUUUGUUAAUUAGGCAUGGAAGUCACUCUCCUUGUACCCAAGGUCUCACAUGUGCUCUCCUAAUGUACUGAUUAGCAUCCAAGCAAAACCACAACCCAUCAUAUACCACUUUAAACUUCUCUUCCCCCAGUGGUAUUAUUGCUGUGUCCUAAUUACGUGACAACAACCCCAUGGAUUUGAAUUCAAAUGGCAGCAAGGGGCCAAAAUGCCAAUUUCUUCAUCUACUAAUCUGUACUUCUUCUAUAGUUUCUCUCCGAAUGUUUUCUUCCUCCAUUUUAAAGUUAUAUUUCUGUACAUGAAUAACUCCAUUAUACAGUUAAUAUGGUAAAGGAAACAAACUCUUUCUUAUGUCAAUGACACCUUUAAUACUUUUUUUAUCAUUCCUCUAUUUUAAAAUCUUACUACAUUUUCCUUUUUGAAGGUAU
rnacentral:lncRNA from 1 species